ACUCUUGUGCUUCUUAAAUGGUUGUGUUUACAUUUUUUAUGCAUACAAAGUCUAUUGGAGUAGCUGUGUUAAAGGAAUUCACACUGGACAGAUGGUUCUGCGCUUAGUCGAAGCUAUUGAUGUUUAUCUUGCUGGAACUGUGAUGCUAAUCUUCGGCAUGGGCUUAUACGGAUUAUUUAUCAGCAAUGUGCCUCCUGAUGUUCCUUCCCAUGUCGACCGAGCCCUAAAAGGCUCUUCCCUAUUUGGAAUAUUUGCU